UACGUAGGGAGCAAGCGUUGUCCGGAAUCAUUGGGCGUAAAGCGCGCGUAGGCGGCCCGAUAAGUCCGCUGUAAAAGUCAACGGCUCAACUGUUGAAAGCCGGUGGAUACUGUCGGGCUAGAGUACGGAAGAGGCAAGUGGAAUUCCUGGUGUAGCGGUGGAAUGCGCAGAUAUCAGGAAGAACACCCGUGGCGAAAGCGGCUCUCUGGAACGGUACUGACGCUGAGACGCGAAAGCGUGGGGAGCGAACAGG
rnacentral:rRNA from 1 species